CAUUCUCAAAAUAACUACUAUAGAAGAGCAGUAGACAAUGAUUGCAUGAGGAGGGCAAAUCUUGGGUUAAUAGAAGUACACCAUAGGCAACCAGAAUCUCAUUUAAAAUACAGAAGUCCCAGGAAAAGAAAACACAGCUGACCCUGAUAGGCACAGAGAGCAGAGUGACUAUAGCACAGAGUGAGUACAUCACAGAGUCACCUCUAUAGUCUCUUCAGGGGAAGACCACUAUGAGCUGAUCACACAGCAGGAGACCAAGGUGCAGACUCCAUGACAAUGAACCAUGAAAGAGCCAUGUGAAAUUAUGUUUUCUAAAGUCUCGAGGUGACAUUUGAUUAUAGCCUUUGGGGAUAAACUAUAGUAAUCUGUGGAAUUACAUGUGUCCUGAAUUUUACCAUUAUUAACUAAUAGUAUUUUCUGAUUUUCUCUUAAAAUUAAUCAGAGUGGAAACAAUAUCAAAGAAUAUUCAAUGAAAAAAAUUCUAGCACUUCAGAGAUUUCCAGCAACCUCACCCCAUCCAGUCUUCGGGUUGAAAGAAUGAGAGAAAAUUAGAGACAAUAGAAACAUUGGAGUAAAAAACACUUGAAGACCUAGAACACCACAUAGACAGAUUACAAAUAUGAAUGAAUCAUCGGAUUCUUUUUCACUUAUUUUCUUCCCUAUUGGACCAGAUAUCUUCUUUUUGCCCUUCCGUAAAGACUUCCCACCCAUCUCCCUGCUGCUCUUUGCCAUCGCAGGCUAACCUGUUUUGGAAGGAUUUGAAAACUUAUUCCCACACAAAAUGUUUCACGUGGAUAUUCAUGGUUGUCAAACUUAGAAGCGACCACGAAGUCUGCCAGUAUAAAUAAAUUAGGGUACAUCCAAAUAAUGCGAUAUUAUUCAGCACUAAAAAAGAAAUGAGCUAUCAAGCCAUGAAAAGAAAUGGAGGAAACUUAAGUGUACAUUACUAAGUAAAAGAACUCAGCUGAAAAAGGCUACCUACUAUAUGAUUCCACCUACGUGACAUUCUGGAAAAAGCAAAGCUAUGGAGACAAUAAAAGAAUUCAUGGCUGUCAAGAUAUAGAGAGGAAGGAAGGAUAAAAAGGCAGAGCACCGAGGAUGUUUUGAGGCAGUGAAAAUACUCUGUAUGAGGUUAUAAUAGUGGAUACAGGGAAUUAUACGUAUGUCCAUACCACAGAAUGCACAAAUCCAAGAGUGAACCAUAUGAAAACCAAGAGCUUUGGGUGAUAAUGAUGUCAGUGUGGGAUUAUCAAUUGUAAUAAAUGUACCACUCUGGUGGGCGAUGUUGAUAAUGUAAGAGGCUAUGCUUGUGUGGGGCAGGGGUAUAUGGGUUAUCUCUGCUUCUUAUGCUCAAUUUUGCUGUGAAUCUAAAACUGCUCUAAAAAAAUUAAGCCUUUAAAAUAAAUUAACAACAAUAACAACAACAAACACAUAUAAAAACAAAGGAAAUCUAAAGGAUGGAGUGAGAGAUUUUUCUAUCAGCAAUGAGGGUAACUAGGCAUUCUUGGUAAUGUAUUGGCCCCCUAAGGGUAUCUAUGCCCUAAUCUCCAGACCCUGUGACUACAUGACAAGAGGGGAUUACAGUUACUAAUCAGCUGCCUUUAAAUUUAAAUUUUCCUGGGUUAUCAGUGUGAGUUUAAUGUAAUCACAAGGGUUUACAUGUAGAAAAGGAAGGUUGAAGAGUCAGUGUAGGAGAGAGGUUUGGGGACACUGCACAGCUGGUUUUGAAGACGGAGGAAAGGGCUAUAAGCCAAGGAACCUAAGCAGCCUCUAGAAGCUGA
ensembl:lncRNA